AGUAUUAUAGGGUUUUUUCUUGUUCAUCUUUGUUUCAAUCCUGUUUUUACUAUUUGGUUUCAUUAAUUUUCAUUUCGUGUCUAUAAUCUAAGGCUUGUAGGUUUCAUUUCUACCAAACUAUGUUGGAUUUGGAUUUGAGUUUGUUUGAUUUCAUUAUUGAUAUGCAAUUUGUGUGGAUAUUGAGAUUGGUCAAACUCAGAGCUAGUGUACAUCAAGGUGUAAAAGAAUAAGGAUAAUGUUGAGACUAAUUUUUUGACCUAUAACACUUUUGCU
rnacentral:lncRNA from 1 species